rnacentral:rRNA from 1 species
UACGAAGGGGGCGAGCGUUGUUCGGAUUUACUGGGCGUAAAGGGCGCGCAGGCGGCUAUUUUUGUCAGGCGUGAAAGCCCCGGGCUUAACCUGGGAACAGCGCUUGAGACGGGAUGGCUAGAGAUCGGGAGAGGAGAGUGGAAUUCCCAGUGUAGAGGUGAAAUUCGUAGAUAUUGGGAAGAACACCGGUGGCGAAAGCGGCGCACUGGAUCUCUUCUGACGCUGAGGCGCGAAAGCUAGGGGAGCAAACGGG